CCGAGACCCCACUCACAGCCAGACCAUGAGGAGGCCUCUCAAUCCAAAGACCUCCGGACUCUUCUCUGGUCCGAGUGUCCCCAUCUACUGGCAGGACGUGUCUUCAACAUGAUGGACAGGUUUAAAUGUGAGGUGAUGAAUGCAGAGGACGCUGGUCGUAAUGCUCAGGUGCGUUGCUGCCUGCAGGGAGGAUGCGGCGCUGAAGAGACACUAAAGUCUGAGGAGAACAAAAAGCCUCCACGUCGGCUACCUGCUACGGUGGCCUCAGAGACGGAGAUCACCAGCUCGUUUUCAAUCCUGCAGCUGUAGGUGU